AGAGUUUGAUCAUGGCUCAGAUUGAACGCUGGCGGCAUGCCUAACACAUGCAAGUCGAACGGCAGCGCGGGGAGCUUGCUCCCUGGCGGCGAGUGGCGGACGGGUGAGGAAUGCAUCGGAAUCUGCCCAGUCGUGGGGGAUAACCCGGGGAAACCCGGACUAAUACCGCAUACGACCUUCGGGUGAAAGCGGGGGACCGUAAGGCCUCGCGCGAUUGGAUGAGCCGAUGCCGGAUUAGCUUGUUGGCGGGGUAACGGCCCACCAAGGCGACGAUCCGUAGCUGGUCUGAGAGGAUGAUCAGCCACACUGGGACUGAGACACGGCCCAGACUCCUACGGGAGGCAGCAGUGGGGAAUAUUGGACAAUGGGGGCAACCCUGAUCCAGCAAUGCCGCGUGUGUGAAGAAGGCCUUCGGGUUGUAAAGCACUUUUAUCGGGAACGAAACAUUGUCGGCCAAUACCCGGCAAGACUGACGGUACCCGAGGAAUAAGCACCGGCUAACUCCGUGCCAGCAGCCGCGGUAAUAC
rnacentral:rRNA from 1 species